AUUGAACGCUGGCGGCAGGCCUAACACAUGCAAGUCGAGCGGAUGAAGGGAGCUUGCUCCUGGAUUCAGCGGCGGACGGGUGAGUAAUGCCUAGGAAUCUGCCUGGUAGUGGGGGAUAACGUCCGGAAACGGGCGCUAAUACUGCAUACGUCCUGAGGGAGAAAGUGGGGGAUCUUCGGACCUCACGCUAUCAGAUGAGCCUAGGUCGGAUUAGCUAGUUGGUGGGGUAAAGGCCUACCAAGGCGACGAUCCGUAACUGGUCUGAGGGGAUGAUCAGUCACACUGGAACUGAGACACGGUCCAGACUCCUACGGGAGGCAGCAGUGGGGAAUAUUGGACAAUGGGCGAAAGCCUGAUCCAGCCAUGCCGCGUGUGUGAAGAAGGUCUUCGGAUUGUAAAGCACUUUAAGUUGGGAGGAAGGGCAGUAAGUUAAUACCUUGCUGUUUUGACGUUACCAACAGAAUAAGCACCGGCUAACUUCGUG
rnacentral:rRNA from 1 species